rnacentral:rRNA from 1 species
AAUGAACGCUGGCGGCGUGCUUAACACAUGCAAGUCGAACGAGCAGACAGAGCUUGCUCUGGGUGCUAGUGGCAGACGGGUGAGUAACGCGUGGGCAACCUACCCUUGAGUGGGGGAUACCUGGCCGAAAGGGCAGUUAAUACCGCAUAACAUGGAAACAUCAAAGCUGGGGACUCUGGAAACAGGGCCUGGUGCUUGAGGAGGGGCUCGCGUCAGAUUAGCUAGUUGGUGGGGUAACGGCUCACCAAGGCAACGAUCUGUAGCCGGCCUGAGAGGGUGAUCGGCCACACUGGAACUGAGACACGGUCCAGACUCCUACGGGAGGCAGCAGUGGGGAAUUUUGCGCAAUGGGGGAAACCCUGACGCAGCAACGCCGCGUGGGUGAAGAAGCAUCUUGGUGUGUAAAGCCCUGUUGACGAGGAAUAAAGC